rnacentral:rRNA from 1 species
CUGGCUCAGGACGAACGCUGGCGGCGUGCUUAACACAUGCAAGUCGAACGAUGAAACCGCUUCGGUGGUGGAUUAGUGGCGAACGGGUGAGUAACACGUGGGCAAUCUGCCCUUCACUCUGGGACAAGCCCUGGAAACGGGGUCUAAUACCGG